rfam:Nitrosomonas eutropha C91, complete genome.
ACCCUAUAGCCCUGACUUGCUGAAACUUCAGCAACCGCCAGCAGCCAGGGUUUGCAGGCUGCCGUGGGACUUCCCCAUGCAACCCGCCAGUUCGCACACGCAUCACACCGGCGAACGUUGCCCAUGCGGGUAUUGAUGC